rnacentral:rRNA from 1 species
GAUGAACGCUGGCGGCGUGCCUAAUACAUGCAAGUCGAGCGAACAGACGAGGAGCUUGCUCCUCUGACGUUAGCGGCGGACGGGUGAGUAACACGUGGAUAACCUACCUAUAAGACUGGGAUAACUUCGGGAAACCGGAGCUAAUACCGGAUAAUAUAUUGAACCGCAUGGUUCAAUAGUGAAAGACGGUUUUGCUGUCACUUAUAGAUGGAUCCGCGCCGCAUUAGCUAGUUGGUAAGGUAACGGCUUACCAAGGAAACGAUGCGUAUCCGACCUGAGAGGUGAAUCGCCACACCUGAACUGGAAAAAGGUCCCAACCUCUUAGGGAGGCAGGCAGUGGGAAAUCUUCCGAAUUGGGGGAAGGCCUGAGGGGGCAACGCGGCGUAGGUGAGAAGGGUCUCCGGAUCUUAAACCCCUGUUAUAGGGAAGAACAAAUGUGUAAGUAACUAUGCACGUCUUGACGGUACCUAAUCAGAAAGCCACGGCUAACUACGUG